GAUGAACGCUAGCUACAGGCUUAACACAUGCAAGUCGAGGGGAAACGGCAUCGAAAGCUUGCUUUUGAUGGGCGUCGACCGGCGCACGGGUGAGUAACGCGUAUCCAACCUGCCCAUCACUUGGGAAUAACCUUGCGAAAGUAAGACUAAUGCCCAAUGACAUCCCACGAAGGCAUCCGAAUGGGACUAUAUAUUUAUCGGUUAUGGAUGGGGCUGCGUCUGAUUAGCUUGUUGGCGGGGUGACGGCCCACCAAGGCAACGAUCAGUAGGGGUUCUGAGAGGAAGGUCCCCCAGAUUGGAACUGAGACACGGUCCAAACUCCUACGGGAGGCAGCAGUGAGGAAUAUUGGUCAAUGAGCGAGAGCCUGAACCAGCCAAGUAGCGUGCAGGAUGACGGCCCUAUGGGUUGUAAACUGCUUUUAUAAGGGAAUAAAGUGGGUCACGUGUGACUUUUUGCAUGUACCUUAUGAAUAAGAACCGGCUAAUUCCGUG
rnacentral:rRNA from 1 species